rnacentral:rRNA from 1 species
CACGUAGGGCGCAAGCGUUGUCCGGAAUUAUUGGGCGUAAAGAGCUCGUAGGCGGUCUGUUGCGUCCGCUGUGAAAACUCGGGGCUUAACCCCGAGCCUGCAGUGGAUACGGGCAGACUAGAGGUAGGUAGGGGAGAAUGGAAUUCCCGGUGUAGCGGUGAAAUGCGCAGAUAUCGGGAGGAACACCGGUGGCGAAGGCGGUUCUCUGGGCCUUACCUGACGCUGAGGAGCCGAAAGCGUGGGGAGCGAACAGG